GUUAAGCGACUAAGCGUACACGGUGGAUGCCCUGGCAGUCAGAGGCGAUGAAGGACGUGCUAAUCUGCGAUAAGCGUCGGUAAGGUGAUAUGAACCGUUAUAACCGGCGAUUUCCGAAUGGGGAAACCCAGUGUGAUUCGUCACACUAUCAUUAACUGAAUCCAUAGGUUAAUGAGGCGAACCGGGGGAACUGAAACAUCUAAGUACCCCGAGGAAAAGAAAUCAACCGAGAUUCCCCCAGUAGCGGCGAGCGAACGGGGAGCAGCCCAGAGCCUGAAUCAGUGUGUGUGUUAGUGGAAGCGUCUGGAAAGGCGUGCGAUACAGGGUGACAGCCCCGUACACAAAAAUGCACAUACUGUGAGCUCGAUGAGUAGGGCGGGACACGUGGUAUCCUGUCUGAAUAUGGGGGGACCAUCCUCCAAGGCUAAAUACUCCUGACUGACCGAUAGUGAACCAGUACCGUGAGGGAAAGGCGAAAAGAACCCCGGCGAGGGGAGUGAAAAAGAACCUGAAACCGUGUACGUACAAGCAGUGGGAGCACGCUUAGGCGUGUGACUGCGUACCUUUUGUAUAAUGGGUCAGCGACUUAUAUUCUGUAGCAAGGUUAACCGAAUAGGGGAGCCGAAGGGAAACCGAGUCUUAACUGGGCGUUAAGUUGCAGGGUAUAGACCCGAAACCCGGUGAUCUAGCCAUGGGCAGGUUGAAGGUUGGGUAACACUAACUGGAGGACCGAACCGACUAAUGUUGAAAAAUUAGCGGAUGACUUGUGGCUGGGGGUGAAAGGCCAAUCAAACCGGGAGAUAGCUGGUUCUCCCCGAAAGCUAUUUAGGUAGCGCCUCGUGAAUUCAUCUCCGGGGGUAGAGCACUGUUUCGGCAAGGGGGUCAUCCCGACUUACCAACCCGAUGCAAACUGCGAAUACCGGAGAAUGUUAUCACGGGAGACACACGGCGGGUGCUAACGUCCGUCGUGAAGAGGGAAACAACCCAGACCGCCAGCUAAGGUCCCAAAGUCAUGGUUAAGUGGGAAACGAUGUGGGAAGGCCCAGACAGCCAGGAUGUUGGCUUAGAAGCAGCCAUCAUUUAAAGAAAGCGUAAUAGCUCACUGGUCGAGUCGGCCUGCGCGGAAGAUGUAACGGGGCUAAACCAUGCACCGAAGCUGCGGCAGCGACGCUUAUGCGUUGUUGGGUAGGGGAGCGUUCUGUAAGCCUGUGAAGGUGUACUGUGAGGUAUGCUGGAGGUAUCAGAAGUGCGAAUGCUGACAUAAGUAACGAUAAAGCGGGUGAAAAGCCCGCUCGCCGGAAGACCAAGGGUUCCUGUCCAACGUUAAUCGGGGCAGGGUGAGUCGACCCCUAAGGCGAGGCCGAAAGGCGUAGUCGAUGGGAAACAGGUUAAUAUUCCUGUACUUGGUGUUACUGCGAAGGGGGGACGGAGAAGGCUAUGUUGGCCGGGCGACGGUUGUCCCGGUUUAAGCGUGUAGGCUGGUUUUCCAGGCAAAUCCGGAAAAUCAAGGCCGAGGCGUGAUGACGAGGCACUACGGUGCUGAAGCAACAAAUGCCCUGCUUCCAGGAAAAGCCUCUAAGCAUCAGGUAACAUCAAAUCGUACCCCAAACCGACACAGGUGGUCAGGUAGAGAAUACCAAGGCGCUUGAGAGAACUCAGGUGAAGGAACUAGGCAAAAUGGUGCCGUAACUUCGGGAGAAGGCACGCUGAUACGUAGGUGAAGCGACUUGCUCGUGGAGCUGAAAUCAGUCGAAGAUACCAGCUGGCUGCAACUGUUUAUUAAAAACACAGCACUGUGCAAACACGAAAGUGGACGUAUACGGUGUGACGCCUGCCCGGUGCCGGAAGGUUAAUUGAUGGGGUUAGCGCAAGCGAAGCUCUUGAUCGAAGCCCCGGUAAACGGCGGCCGUAACUAUAACGGUCCUAAGGUAGCGAAAUUCCUUGUCGGGUAAGUUCCGACCUGCACGAAUGGCGUAAUGAUGGCCAGGCUGUCUCCACCCGAGACUCAGUGAAAUUGAACUCGCUGUGAAGAUGCAGUGUACCCGCGGCAAGACGGAAAGACCCCGUGAACCUUUACUAUAGCUUGACACUGAACAUUGAGCCUUGAUGUGUAGGAUAGGUGGGAGGCUUUGAAGUGUGGACGCCAGUCUGCAUGGAGCCGACCUUGAAAUACCACCCUUUAAUGUUU
rnacentral:rRNA from 1 species